CCUGUCAUGACAAUAAUGGACUAAGUCUCUGAACGAUAAAUGUUCUACACGUGCAUAAAAAGCCCGACUGUCCAGAUGUGCCUCACCAACAGACAGCAAGCAUGCCAGAAGUAACGUGCAGCUUAGACUGCUUCAGCUUUCUUAUAUCCAGCUACUACACUGUGAAUAUGCAUCAGCAUAGCAGGUCUGCAAGAAUGUGUCAACCCAGGAGCUUCCAACCAGACUGACUAAGACAACUUUCUCACCAGAAGGGACCAUCCCUCAGUCAAAGGUUCCCGAGAAGCUACAUUUCUUCUAGAAACUCAAGCAUGUUCUGGAGGAGAAAUGUACAUGGCCUGUCGAGACUCAGAGUAUCCCAAGUCUGCCUCUAUGAUGGUGAUGUCUACAGGAACUGAAUGUGCUAUGUAGUGUCACCUUGAAGUUGUCUGUUUGAGAUAUUGAAGUCUAAACCUUCCUAGUACUGCUUCUGGAUGUCACAAGAGUAGAUACAAGAAAGCAGCAUGUCAUCUAUGGAGCAGCUGUGGUAGGAGCAACCUUUGACAGACCUUGAGCGUCUAUAUAAGUGUGACUUUCACCGAGGGACGAUGCCCUCCAAGAAGAGCUUCACCAGGCCAUCCGUUGAGCUUUACUACACAUAGACCUGAGGUGGAGCCCUGGCCAUUUAGUACUUGCAUUGCUUGUCCUGAGACCCUGAGGUCAGUUCCAGCUGUGUGGAGAUUAACUGUGAAGCACCCUAACAUCGAGAGGUCUAAAACAUGAAUAAAGACAGUUAGAAAGAAUUUUCUGUGAAAUAAAAAUCUUCCUAGCUUCCAAGGUUUGUUUGUGAAUAAAUUAAAAGUCAGAAUAGACCUGUAACUUGUAAGGAGAUUGAAUCAGUAAUCAGAAAUCUCUCAAUGAAAAAAUGUUCUUAAAACCAUAUGGCAUCACUAGAGAAUUCUAUUAGUCAUUAAGGAAUAAACUUGGCUAUUUUUAUAUAAACAAUAUGAAAGGAAAAAUUAA
rnacentral:sRNA from 1 species